AGUCGAACGAUGAAGCUUCUAGCUUGCUAGAAGUGGAUUAGUGGCGCACGGGUGAGUAAGGUAUAGUUAAUCUGCCCUACACAAGAGGACAACAGUUGGAAACGACUGCUAAUACUCUAUACUCCUGCUUAACACAAGUUGAGUAGGGAAAGUUUUUCGGUGUAGGAUGAGACUAUAUAGUAUCAGCUAGUUGGUAAGGUAAUGGCUUACCAAGGCUAUGACGCUUAACUGGUCUGAGAGGAUGAUCAGUCACACUGGAACUGAGACACGGUCCAGACUCCUACGGGAGGCAGCAGUAGGGAAUAUUGCGCAAUGGGGGAAACCCUGACGCAGCAACGCCGCGUGGAGGAUGACACUUUUCGGAGCGUAAACUCCUUUUCUUAGGGAAGAAUUCUGACGGUACCUAAGGAAUAAGCACCGGCUAACUCCGUGCCAGCAGCCGCGGUAAUACGGAGGGUGCAAGCGUUACUCGGAAUCACUGGGCGUAAAGGGCGCGUAGGCGGAUUAUCAAGUCUCUUGUGAAAUCUAAUGGCUUAACCAUUAAACUGCUUGGGAAACUGAUAGUCUAGAGUGAGGGAGAGGCAGAUGGAAUUGGUGGUGUAGGGGUAAAAUCCGUAGAUAUCACCAAGAAUACCCAUUGCGAAGGCGAUCUGCUGGAACUCAACUGACGCUAAGGCGCGAAAGCGUGGGGAGCAAACAGGAUUAGAUACCCUGGUAGUCCACGCCCUAAACGAUGUACACUAGUUGUUGGGAUGCUAGUCAUCUCAGUAAUGCAGCUAACGCAUUAAGUGUACCGCCUGGGGAGUACGGUCGCAAGAUUAAAACUCAAAGGAAUAGACGGGGACCCGCACAAGCGGUGGAGCAUGUGGUUUAAUUCGAAGAUACGCGAAGAACCUUACCUGGGCUUGAUAUCCUAAGAACCUUAUAGAGAUAUGAGGGUGCUAGCUUGCUAGAACUUAGAGACAGGUGCUGCACGGCUGUCGUCAGCUCGUGUCGUGAGAUGUUGGGUUAAGUCCCGCAACGAGCGCAACCCACGUAUUUAGUUGCUAACGGUUCGGCCGAGCACUCUAAAUAGACUGCCUUCGUAAGGAGGAGGAAGGUGUGGACGACGUCAAGUCAUCAUGGCCCUUAUGCCCAGGGCGACACACGUGCUACAAUGGCAUAUACAAUGAGACGCAAUACCGCGAGGUGGAGCAAAUCUAUAAAAUAUGUCCCAGUUCGGAUUGUUCUCUGCAACUCGAGAGCAUGAAGCCGGAAUCGCUAGUAAUCGUAGAUCAGCCAUGCUACGGUGAAUACGUUCCCGGGUCUUGUACUCACCGCCCGUCACACCAUGGGAGUUGAUUUCACUCGAAGCCGGAAUACUAA
rnacentral:rRNA from 1 species